rnacentral:rRNA from 1 species
GACGAACGCUGGCGGCGUGCUUAACACAUGCAAGUCGAACGCUGAAGCUCAGCUUUUGUUGGGUGGAUGAGUGGCGAACGGGUGAGUAACACGUGAGUAACCUGCCUCCUUCUUUGGGAUAACGCCCGGAAACGGGCGCUAAUACUGGAUAUUCACUGGUCUUCGCAUGGGGGUUGGUGGAAAGGGUUUUUCUGGUGGGGGAUGGGCUCGCGGCCUAUCAGCUUGUUGGUGGGGUGAUGGCCUACCAAGGCUUUGGCGGGUAGCCGGCCUGAGGGGGUGACCGGUCACAUUGGGACGGAGAUACGGCCCAGACUACUACGGGAGGCAGCAGUGGGGACUAUUGCACAAUGGGCGCAAGCCUGAUGCAGCGACGGCGCGUGAGGGAUGGAGGCCUUCGGGUUGUGAACCUCUUUCGCUCAUGGUCAAGCCGCAACAAUGGUUGUGGUGAGGGUAGUGGGUAAAGAAGCGCCGGCUAACUACGUG